rnacentral:misc_RNA from 1 species
GAUGAAGAACGUAGCAAAAUGCGAUAAGUAAUGUGAAUUGCAGAAUUCAGUGAAUCAUCGAAUCUUUGAACGCACAUUGCGCCCGCCAGUAUUCUGGCGGGCAUGCCUGUUCGAGCAUCAUUUCAACCCUCAAGCACAGCUUGGUGUUGGGACUCGCGUUAAUUCGCGUUCCUCAAAUUGAUUGGCGGUCACGUCGAGCUUCCAUAGCGUAGUAGUAAAACCCUCGUUACUGGUAAUCGUCGCGGCCACGCCGUUAAACCCCAACUUCUGAAUGUUGACCUCGGAUCAGGUAGGAAUACCCGCUGAACUUAAGCAUAUCAAUAAGCGGAGGA